rnacentral:rRNA from 1 species
AACGUAGGACGCAAGCGUUAUCCGGAGUUACUGGGCGUAAAGCGCGGGCAGGCGGCUCGAUGCGUCUGAUGUGAAAUCUCCUCGCUCAACGGGGAGAGGCCAUUGGAAACGGUCGAGCUGGAGGGCAGUAGAGGCAGGCGGAAUUCCGGGUGGAGUGGUGAAAUGCGUAGAGAUCCGGAGGAACACCAGAGGCGAAGGCGGGUCUCUGGACAGUUCCUGACGCUGAGGCACGAAGGCCAGGGGAGCAAACGGG